rnacentral:rRNA from 1 species
UACGAAGGGGGCGAGCGUUGUUCGGAAUUACUGGGCGUAAAGGGCGCGUAGGCGGCGACCCAAGUCAGAUGUGAAAGUCCUGGGCUUAACCUGGGGACUGCAUUUGAUACUGGGUUGCUUGAAUUCGGGAGAGGAUAGCAGAAUUCCCAGUGUAGAGGUGAAAUUCGUAGAUAUUGGGAAGAACACCGGUGGCGAAGGCGGCUAUCUGGACCGACAUUGACGCUGAGGCGCGAAAGCGUGGGGAGCAAACAGG